rnacentral:rRNA from 1 species
AGUGAAAUAGUAUGUGAAAUUGUUGAUAGGGAAGGAAAUGAGUGGAGAGUGGACGAGGUUUCAGUGCCCCCUCGGGGGUACGUACUGCCAACUCCGAGUCAACGUCAGCGAGACGGGGUGUAUAAACGGGUGUCUUCGGACUCUCACCUACUCCCCCCCACUGCCGUCGUCGACAUAAUCCACCCAUUUCACCCGUCUUGAAACACGGACCAAGGAGUCUAAUGGAUAUGUGAGUGUUAGGGUGGCAAACCCCAGCGCGCAAUGAAAGUGAAUGAUUCGUUCAGAAUCGACCGAACUUGAUUUUUAUGACAGUUUUGAGUAAACACAUCCAUUGGGACCCGAAAGAUGGUGAACUAUGCCUGAAUAGGGUGAAGUCAGAGGAAACUCUGAUGGAGGCUCGUAGCGGUUCUGACGUGCAAAUCGAUCGUAGAAUUUGGGUAUAGGGGCGAAAGACUAAUCGAACCAUCUAGUAGCUGGUUCCUGC